CUAUCAUGCAAGUCGAGGGGCAGCGCAGUGUAGCAAUACAUGGGCGGCGACCGGCAAACGGGUGCGGAACACGUACACAACCUUCCUUUUAGUGAGGAAUAGCCCAGGGAAACUUGGAUUAAUACCUCGUAAUAUUAUAGAGUGGCAUCAUUUUAUAAUUAUAGCUCCGGCGCUAGAAGAUGGGUGUGCGGCUGAUUAGGUAGUUGGCGGGGUAACGGCCCACCAAGCCUUCGAUCAGUAACUGGUGUGAGAGCACGACCAGUCACACGGGCACUGAGACACGGGCCCGACUCCUACGGGAGGCAGCAGUAAGGAAUAUUGGUCAAUGGACGCAAGUCUGAACCAGCCAUGCCGCGUGGAGGAUGAAGGUCCUCUGGAUUGUAAACUUCCUUUCUCUGGGGCGAAAAAAGGGUAUUCUUACUCACUUGACAGUACCAGAGGAAUAAGCACCGGCUAACUCCGUGCCAGCAGCCGCGGUAAUACGGAGGGUGCAAGCGUUAUCCGGAUUCACUGGGUUUAAAGGGUGCGUAGGUGGAGUGGUAAGUCAGUGGUGAAAUCUCCAAGCUUAACUUGGAAACUGCCGCUGAUACUAUCAUUCUUGAAUAUCGUGGAGGUAAGCGGAAUAUGUCAUGUAGCGGUGAAAUGCUUAGAUAUGACAUAGAACACCGAUUGCGAAGGCAGCUUGCUACACGAUCAUUGACACUGAGGCACGAAAGCGUGGGGAUCAAACAGGAUUAGAUACCCUGGUAGUCCACGCCCUAAACGAUGAUUACUCGACAUCAGCGAUACACUGUUGUUGUCUGAGCGAAAGCAUUAAGUAAUCCACCUGGGAAGUACGAUCGCAGAUUGAAACUCAAAGGAAUUGGCGGGGUCGNCAGCGUGAGCAUGUGUUUAUUCGAUGAUACGCGAGAAUCCUU
rnacentral:rRNA from 1 species